UUAAAGGAACAUCGUGCAUGUCGGAUUUAACCUUUGUGGACAAAAGCUAUUGUUUCUGAGCCUGUGGAGGAUUUAUUUUUCUUUCAUAUAAACUUUUUUUUUCAUUUUCUCUUCUUCUAUGUGAAUCAGCUGACAGCAUGGGAAUACUGCUAUUAUUUGCUGUCUUGCAAGUGGUGACAGUCGGCAUGGUGACUGCUGGCUGUCCAGUGGUGUGUGAGUGUCCGGCAGGGCCUCCAUCCUGUCCCCCAGGGGUCAGCUCGGUCCCGGACGGCUGCGGCUGCUGCAAGGUGUGUGCCGCGCAGCUCAACCAGGAUUGCCACGAAGGACGGCCCUGUGACCACCACAAAGGCCUGGAGUGCAACUACGGCAAUGAUGUGGGCCGUACCCAUGGCAUCUGCAGGGCAAAGGCAGAGGGCCGCUCGUGCGAGUACAACGGGCGGAUUUAUCAAAAUGGCGAGAAUUUCCGCGCUGGUUGCAAGCACCAGUGCACCUGCAUCGAUGGAGCGGUGGGCUGCGUGCCUCUUUGCCCCAGCCACUUGCCCCUGGCGUCCCCUUCCUGUCCCGCUCCGCAGCUGGUCAAGGUGCCAGGCCAGUGCUGCCUCACCAUCGACUGCCACAAGGGAUCGACCGUCGUGCCCCCAGUACACCGCCGACCCCAACCUCCAAUUUACUCGCCUUACCCCUUCAUCCCCUACCCGGCCUACCCCUUCCCAAAGCCUUAUCCGAAACCUUUCCAGAAGUUGUUCCCCUACAAACCCAAAAAGGAGAAGGACACCCUAGGCAAUGAGCUUGUGGAAGUGGGGCGCAAGUGGGACAAGCAACGUGGAAACAAGCACCUGGCGGCCUGGAGGCAGGUGGGAGAUCAGUGUGUGGUUCAGACUACUUCCUGGUCCCAGUGUUCCCGGAGCUGUGGGAUGGGCGUCUCCUCUCGUGUUACCAAUGACAAUGCCCGGUGUAAGCUGAUCAAGGAGACGCGUCUGUGCAACAUUCGGCCCUGCAGCACCAUGUCUAUCCCUGCCAAGAUGAGGAAUAAAGGAAGGAAGUGCUCUCGUACCCAUAAGGCCCCUGAACCACACCGCCUGUCCUACGCGGGCUGCAGGAGCACUCGCCUGUAUAGGCCCAACUACUGUGGCGUGUGUAGGGACGGCCGUUGCUGUUCGCCCCGCCGCACACGUACCGCAAGCGUGAACUUCGCCUGCCCUGAUGGCGAACGCUUCAACCGGUCCAUGAUGUUCAUCCAGUCCUGCAAGUGCAGCGACGAGUGCAACCAUCUCAACGAGGCAGCCAUGCCUCCUCAGCGAUGGCUCUACGGAGACACACACAAGUUCAUCGACUAGUAGUAUCAUCCCCCCAAACUACAUUCCCUCACAAAAAACAGACAUUAACUCCCCCAUAGUGACCCCCAUUAUAGUAUAGCUGUCCUUAGUGUAUCUAUGAGUAGACGCAAGCGAGGUGAACACGUUAAAACGUCUUUUCUGAAAGAUUAUUUGGGGAGGAAUGGGAAGAAGAAUCAGACGGGCGCAUCUCCACCUUGGAAAGAGCAAAGUGACCAGCCCCUGCUUUAGUGUAGAUAAAACGUUGUUUCUGGCCCGGCCAGACUUCUAAAGACUGUGACAAAACCUUUAUGGAAAACAUGGACGCAACCAGCCACCAUGUUGCUGCCAUGCACCAAAUGUCCCCUGAACUCUUGAGACAUUUGUUGGGGACGCUGGAGCAAGACACACAAACAUAACUGUUUAUUUUGUUUAUGGUGUGGAUUCACAUCAGUUACUGAGCAACAGGUCUGACUAGCUGAUAGAAAACCGGUUUGACGUUGGAGCCAAAUAUGAAACCUACUGGAAUCACAUGUCUGUGCACUCCAAUAACUUAGUAUUGAUAAACCAAAUGAAGACUUGUGGAGAAGACUUGACAGCAAAAUAACGGGGAUUGUGACGGCAGAAGAUGGAGGAGCAUCUCAGAUGUUCUUACAGGAGUGUGGCUUGUGUCUUUUUAUGGUAUUUAUUCACUGGUAUUUAUUGUUGAGACAGACAUGAUGACACAGUGGCCUGCCACCAGGGAAGGCGGGGCUGCUAUGUUUGGAGCAUCAGCGUGGCUGAAUGGGGAUCUGAGAGGGACUAAACAGCUGAGAGCUGUCAGCCAUGAGAGGGAGAGGACUCCCACAGAUCCGGGGCUUGACCCCCAGGGUCGCAUUGGUCAGAAAGCCAUAUCUAAUGAUGGAUGAUGAAGGCUACAGGAGAAGAGGUGGUAUGUACUAGAAAAAGACAGAGUUGAACCUGAUGGGUCGAGGCUUUGUACGCAUUAUCGGGGAAUAUGUCAAAGGUUGUCUACACAGCUGGACUCAUCCGCUGCCUUGCCUCCACAAGAAACCGAGACAUUUAGCAAGCACCAGAAGAACAAGCCUGGGAUUCUGGCGCCGAGACGGCAACCGCCUAAUUCUGUGCAAAUUACAAUCCUGACUCUGAGGGGCAGCGAGAGAAAAUCAGCAACUCUCUGGUUUGCUAUAAAAAUAAAAUUUGAAAAACUGCGUCUACUGAGGUAAACAUGUAAUUUGUGACUCGCGGGUGGAACCGCUCUGGUGCCCAAGUCUGGCCUGUAAUCGAGCAGCAUGUCAGCUCACUGAAACAAAACAAUAACUCAUGCCUCUUCAUGUUUAAGUAUCUGUUUCUGAGAAAUGCUGUUGAAGGCUGUGUUAUUGGUCAGCAGAGAAGAGCUUCACAGCCCUGCAGAGGACGGGGCCAGAGGUCAAUAACAACCUAUUCCUAAGGACAUUUUGGAGAUGGGGAGUUAUGUAUUAUUCUAUCAUUUUUUGUGGCCAAAAUCCUUUACUAUGACUGAAGAGCCUAAGCAACUUACUUAAGUGGAACUUGGGCUCAAGUUCACGCACCUUACAACAGCUUUGAUCCAAGACCUUUUAAUCUCAUGCAAAGGUCAUACAGAGGGACUGACUUAUCUUCACCGGAUGAUCACCGUUUUCAUUAUCUCAAAGAUGUGUUUUCUCUCGUGCCAUAGACAUUUUUUCAGUUUUCUGCAAAACUGGAAAAUAUUUGCAUUUUCUACCCUCUCUUGGCUACAGCAGGCUUUCUCAGUAGAGACUCUGCUGCCUCGAAUCCUGACAACCUUGUUGGGGGGGGGGGGGGGGUUAAACUUUACAGGUGAUACAAAUAAAUUGUGUUUGGUAAAUGUUUGCCAUGUUGCCAUUGCUAUUUCCCUAUGUAGAUGCUGUGGUUUUGGUACUGUAUGUCUAGUUUUGUUAAAGGACACUAUAGAGCAGCUAUGUACAGAUGCAUUGUUACCUUCUUUGUAGUUCUAUCUGCUGUAUAAGGGCCAAUCCUUUUACGGAGUUAUACUGAAGUAGUCCAUGUAGAGUUUAGCACUGAACAAAGCAGGGUUCAGAUCCUUUAUGAGCAUUAAGUGCCAAUUUAAAAGCAUGAUGAUUGUAUGUCUACUAGUGUACAAUAUUUAAUACCAUCUGCAAUAAUAAAGUCACGCUUUGUAAGAUUACAUAUUUAAAAAGAAAAAAAAGAAUUGUUCACAUGUUCCUCACUACUUAUUGGAAACUGGUUUCCUAACAUAUUGGAUGUUAGCGUUGGUAUGAGUUCAUCAUUUUGCAUUUUUAAUAAAGACAUUUUCACUCCUACACUUGGUAUUGAACCUUUACCAAAGUGAUAAUUGUUCAUUUCAUCUAGAUAAAUUAUAAAAUGUUUUAAUUCAUUCUUAAAGACAGUUCACAGCCUUGAUAACAGCUGGAAGGCUGUGCUUUGAUACAUGGCUUUGACCCAAAUGCUAAUAUUUUCAUGCUACUAUAAAAUGCUCACAAUUACAACGCUAAUACAUUACCAUGCUUACAUUUGCUAUUCAACACUUAAGUCCAGCACAAAUGACAUUUUGUGAUUAUACACAUUACGCAGAGAUGAUUUCAAUAUAGGGGGGUGCUAAUGACAUACUUGUAAUAAAAAUUGCCAAAAUUCACCACCAGGACUCCACUUGGAUUUUUCAUUUAUUGUUGUUAGGCAUUCAAUU